rnacentral:rRNA from 1 species
UACGUAGGGUGCGAGCGUUGUCCGGAAUUACUGGGCGUAAAGAGUUCGUAGGCGGUUUGUCGCGUCGUUUGUGAAAACCCGGGGCUCAACUUCGGGCUUGCAGGCGAUACGGGCAGACUUGAGUGUUUCAGGGGAGACUGGAAUUCCUGGUGUAGCGGUGAAAUGCGCAGAUAUCAGGAGGAACACCGGUGGCGAAGGCGGGUCUCUGGGAAACAACUGACGCUGAGGAACGAAAGCGUGGGUAGCAAACAGGAUUAGAUACCCUGGUAGUCCACGCCGUAAACGGUGGGCGCUAGGUGUGGGUUCCUUCCACGGGAUCUGUGCCGUAGCUAACGCAUUAAGCGCCCCGCCUGGGGAGUACGGCCGCAAGGCUAAA